rnacentral:lncRNA from 10 species
GGAAAUGAACUAAAUGGAUCAGCUCAAUGUGCUCUGACCCGUUCCGUAAUAUGCAGGCAUUUGGCAUUAGCGGGUGCACACCUUGAUCUUAUAUAGGAUGACGGGUAAGCAAUUGAUGUGGAUCCACCAAAUUUUCUCUACGGCAGUUUGGCAUAAACAGAAGUAUGCUUUAGAAUGAUGGAUCUUGAGAGGAUAGAUCAGAAGAAUGACUGGAUGGUGAGAAUUCUGCCAGGCAUGCUGUGCUGUACACAGUACCCAAGAUAUGGAAGCAACCUAAGUGACCAUCAACAGAUGAAUGGAUAAAGAAAAUGUGGGGCCAGGCGCAAUGGCUCACGCCUGUAAUCCCAGCACUUUGGCAGGCCCAGGCGGGAGGAUCACGAGGUCAGGAGAUCGAGGCCAUCCUGACUAACGUGGUGAAACCCCGUCUCUACUAAAAUUAUAAAAAAAUUAGCCGGCCGUGGUGGCGGGCCCCUGUAGUCCCAGCUACUCUACUCGGGAGGCUGAGGCAGAAGAAUGGCGUGAACCCGGGGGGCGGAGCUUGCAGUGAGCCGAGAUAGUGCAACUGCACUCCAGCCUGGGCGACAGAGUGAGACUCUGUCUCAAAAAAAAAAAGUGGUACCUAUACACAAUGGAGUACUAUUCCACCAUAAAAAUUAAUGAAAUCCUGUCAUUUGGAACAACAUGUAUAGAACUGGAGGUUAUUAUGUUAAGUAAAAUAAAUCAGGCAUAGAAAGACAAACAUCAACUGUUCUCAUUUAUUUGUGCGACCUAAAAACAAAACAAUUGAACUCAUGGAGAGAGAGAGUAGACGGAUGGUUACCAGAUGCUGUGAACAGUAGGGGGAAGGUUGGGGGUAGGUUGGGAUGGUUAGUGGUUUUAAAAAAAAUCGUUAGAAUAAAUAGGACAAAGAAUUAGAUCGCACAACAGGGUGACUACAGUCAAUAAUUAUUUAAUUGUACAUCUUAAAAUAACUAAAAGAGUAUAACAGGAUUGUCUGUAACACAAAGGAUAAAUGCUUGAGGGGAUGAAUAUAUCAUUUUCAUGAUGUGAUUAUUACUCAUUGCAUGCCUGUAUCAAAACAUUUUAUGUACUCCAUAAACACAUACACCUACUAUGUACACAUAAUAAGAAGAAAUAAAAAUUUUAAAAAUAAACUAUAUUCCUCAAGGUAUGGUAUUUUCCCUUAAUUUUCAUGUAUAAUGGACUAUCAUAAACUGAUAUAUCCUAAAAAUAUAUGUAGGAUUUUUUUAUGGUUUGAAUAUUGGUGUCCUCCUCAAAUUCAUAUGUUGGAACCUAACAUUAAUAGUACUGAGUGCUGGGGGGUCUUUGGAAAGUGAUUAUUUCCUGUGGGCUAUACCUUCAUAACUAAAUGAAUGCCCUUAUAAAAGAGGCUCAAACAAGCUUUCCUUCUCUAUCUACCAUGUGAGGGUAGAGCAAGAAGGCAAAGCAGACAUAGCCCUCAACAAAUAUUGAAUCUGCCAGCACCUGGAUUUUGUACUUUCCAGCUUCCAGUACUGUGAGCAGUAUAUUUCUGUUUUUUGUAAAUUACUGAGUCUGCAAUAUUUGGUUAUAGCAACCUGAAUGGACUAAGACAGUAUUAAGCUAUUUAACUGGAAAUUUAUUAUGUAUAAUUAUUUUUCUUAAUUGUUUAUUGGUUCAUCAACGUGUAAUGUAUUCUCAUGUGUCA